rnacentral:rRNA from 1 species
CCCUUAGAUGUUCUGGGCUGCACGCGCGCUACACUGACGAGAGCAACGAGUGAACCUGGCUCGGAAGAGUUGGGCAAUCUUUUGAAAUCUCGUCGUGAUGGGGAUAGAUCUUUGUAAUUAUCGAUCUUGAACGAGGAAUUCCUAGUAAGCGCAUUUCAUCAAAAUGCGUUGAUUACGUCCCUGCCCUUUGUACACACCGCCCGUCGCUACUACCGAUUGAAUGGUUUAGUGAGGCCUCGGGAUUGAAGCACGGACACUGGCAACAGUGACCGAGCGUCGAGAACUUGGUCAAACUUGAUCAUUUAGAGGAAGUAAAANUCGUANCA